AGUGGAUUAUUGCAGGGAUUUUAUCUUGCAGUAAUCUCCAGGGAGAAAUGUACAAACAGCUGGGAGAGCAAGAAGGAACCGCAUUGUGUGGCAGGAGUUUGUGGAGCAGAAUUUUAGAGUGCUGGAGUGGAUCUCAAUACCAACAUGAAUCUUUUCUGUUUUUCUCUGGUCUUUUCAGAGAAGAAAAACUAAGUAAAGGAUUUCAAAAGAUGGGGGAGGAGGGCUCGAUGGACAGCCUGUAUGAGCCUGUCCCAGAACAACAGGAAGCCAAGGAUGCAGCUACUCUUGAAAGUCAGGCUGGCACUCCAGCGAGCACACAUGGAAACUGUGGGCCACCUGACAGGUCUAUCUCUUUGGUGAUAAACUACGAGCAAUGGAUCCCACCACGAGUUCACAAUCCAGGUGUGCCUGGUAACAGUGAAAUGGGUACAGAACCAGACAAUAGAGCUGAGUCCAGGGGAACAUUAAAAAGAUUGCAGAAAUUGGUGCGAACAAAGAAAACAAGUACACAAAGCUUGGAAGA
rnacentral:lncRNA from 1 species